ACAGAGGGUGCGAGCGUUAUCCGGAAUUACUGGGCGUAAAGGGCGUGUAGGUGGUUUGUUAAGUUCGAUGUUAAAGCGUGAGGCUCAACCUCAUAAUGGCGUUGAAUACUGGCAAGCUAGACGACUGGAGAGGAAAGCAGAAUUACCAGUGUAGCGGUGAAAUGCGUAGAUACUGGUAGGAAUACCCAUUGCGAAGGCAGCUUUCUGGACAGUUUGUGACACUCAGACGCGAAAGUGUGGGGAGCAAACCGGAUUAGAUACCCGGGUAGUCCACACCCUAAACGAUGCAUACUUGGUGUCGGCCCGUUGGGGUCGGCGCCGGAGCUAACGCGUUAAGUAUGCCGCCUGGGAAGUACGGCCGCAAGGUUG
rnacentral:rRNA from 1 species